rnacentral:rRNA from 1 species
UACGUAGGGGGCAAGCGUUGUCCGGAUUUAUUGGGCGUAAAGAGCGCGUAGGCGGCUGGGUAGGUCCGUUGUGAAAACUCGAGGCUCAACCUCGAGACGCCGAUGGAAACCCUCCAGCUAGAGUCCGGAAGAGGAGAGUGGAAUUCCUGGUGUAGCGGUGAAAUGCGCAGAUAUCAGGAAGAACACCCGUGGCUAAGGCGGCUCUCUAGUACGGUACUGACGCUGAGACGCGAAAGCGUGGGGAGCAAACAGG